rnacentral:rRNA from 1 species
CCUACGGGUGGCAGCAGUGGGUAAUAUUGGACAAUGGGGGGAACCCUGAUCCAGCGCCGCCUCGUGAGUGAAGAAGUAUUUCGGUAUGUAAAGCUCUAUCAGCAGGGAAGAAAAUGACGGUACAUGACUAAGAAGCCCCGUCUAAAUACGUGCCAGCAGCCGCGGUAAUACGUAGGGGGCAAGCGUUCUCCGGAUUGACUGGGUUCAAAGGGAGCGUAGAAGGAGGAGCAGGUCUGAUGUGAAAGGUCGGGGCCCAACCCCGAGACUGCAUUGGAAACUGUUGAAGUGGAGUACAGUAGAGGUAAGCGGAAUUCCUAGUGUAGCGGUGAAAUGCGUAGAUAGUAGGAGGAACACCAGUGGCGAAGGCGGCUUACUGGACUGUAACUGACGUUGAGGCUCGAAAGCGUGGGGAGCAAACAGGAUUAGAUACCCUAGUAGUC